GGCGGAGGGCGGGGGCGUGGUUAGGCCGUAUAAGAACGGAGGGGGCGGCGGCGAGACGGCUCACUCAGUGCCGCUGCCCGGGGGCUGUAGUGACCGCGCCGCUCCUGCUGGGGGGCUGCCCACGCCAAGGACCUGCCUCUGUGGUCUCCGCCGCCGCCCAGUUUCCCUGGCAACAACAUCCCCCA
rnacentral:lncRNA from 1 species